GAUGAAGAACGUAGCGAAAUGCGAUAAGUAAUGUGAAUUGCAGAAUUCAGUGAAUCAUCGAAUCUUUGAACGCACCUUGCGCUCUUUGGUAUUCCGAAGAGCAUGCCUGUUUGAGUGUCAUGAAAGUAUCAACCUUGACUUGGGUUUUGUGCUCUAGUCUCGGCUUGGAAUUGGGUGCUUGCCGCUUUUACGAGCGGCUCACCUUAAAUGUAUUAGCUGGAUCUGUCUUUGAGACUUGGUUUGACUUGGCGUAAUAAGUAUUUCGCUAAGGACAUUCUUCGGAGUGGCCUCGUUUCUAGGACGCUUGUCCGCUUUCCAAUACAAGUUCCACCUCGUGGACAUGACUUUUUAUUAUCUGGCCUCAAAUCAGGUAGGACUACCCGCUGAACUUAAGCAUAUCAAUAAGCGGAGGA
rnacentral:misc_RNA from 1 species